UAUCCUACAGGAGAGUAAGGACACCAGCAGUGGUGUAUCCUACAGGAAAUUAAGGACACCAGCAGUGGUGUAUCCUACAGGAGAUUAAGGACACCAGCAGUGAUGUAUCCUACAGGAGAUUAAGGACACCAGCAGUGAUGUAUCCUACAGGAAAUUAAGGACACCAGCAGUGGUGUAUCCUACAGGAGAUUAAGGACACCAGCAGUGAUGUAUCCUACAGGAGAUUAAGGACACCAGCAGUGAUGUAUCCUACAGGAAAUUAAGGACACCAGCAGUGGUGUAUCCUACAGGAGAUUAAGGACACCAGCAGUGAUGUAUCCUACAGGAGAUUAAGGACAACAGCAGUGAUGUAUCCUACAGGAGAUACGAAUAUCACGUAUUAUUGAUAUCUAUAUAGCUCAAUGAUGUGAAUCACACUUCUGCUCUCUCAUUCAGCUAUUUGUAUCAGAGAUCAAGGUAAGAUCCAGAAACAGACUGUCGAAGUAACAAUGUUUAAUGUUCCAACAGAGGCAAGCAGUAGACAGGUCAAGGCAGGCUGAGGUCGGUAAUCCAGAGGCAAGCAGUAGACAGGUCAAGGCAGGCUGAGGUCGGUAAUCCAGAGGCAAGCAGUAGACAGGUCAAGGCAGGCUGAGGUCGGUAAUCCAGAGGGAGGCAGAGUUACAGGUCAGCAGGCAGGGUCGGGGGCAGGCAGAGUGGUCAGGCAGGUGGGCUCAGAGACAGGACAGGCAAGGGUCAAGACCGGGAGGAAUAGCAAAAAGAGAAUAGAAGCAGGAGUACGGGAAAACACGCUGGUUGACCUGAAAAACAUACAAGACGAACUGGCAACAGACAAACAGAGAACACAGGUAUAAAUACACAGGGGAUAAUGGGGAAGAUGGGCGACACCUGGAGGGGGGUGGAGACAAGCACAAGGUCAGGUGAAACAGAUCAGGGCGUGACAAUUUGUGCCUUACAGAUUGUAGUUGUGGUGGAUGGCUGUCUACAAAUGUAGCCUAUAUGUUUAUUUUACCACAAUAAUGUUUGAAUUGAGUAAAUUUAGGCUGACUAUCAGUCAUUGUUUUUGCGACCAGUGGAAAGCCAGUGAGAAAUGCGUUCUUACAGCAUCUGCAUAGUGCUGAUCCCAGCCUAUGGAGUAACAGUUUGAGGGAGUUCCUCCCUUCUAAACUCCUCCUUGUUCUCCAUACUGUUAAAAACAAGCUUCAUUUAAAAAAGGAAAGGGAUUGUUCCUCGGGUACUUAGUCAGUUGUAGAACUAAAUAAAUCAACUGAAAUGUGUCUUCCACAUUUAACCCAACUCCUCUGAAUCAGAGAGGUGCGGGGGAGGGGGGGGCUGCCAUAUUUGACCUCCAUUUGACCUCUGUACCCGAGGAACAAUUGGGGGUCAACUGCCUUGCUCCAGGACAAAAGGGCAGAUUUUUCCACCUUGAUGGCUUGGGGAUUUGAACCAGUGACCUUUCAGUUACUGGCCCAAUGCUAUUGACCACGAGUUGGGCUUUUAUGGCUCAAAGUUUUGGUUCGUGCUCAAAGAAUGACAUUCCAUGAGAAGAGCAUUUGUUUCUCAACUUGAAGCAAUGAGCUCAAUUAGUACUCCAUUACAUCCGAAUCAUAGACAACAGAGUAGGCUAAGAAGUCCUUAGUUUUCGGGUUAUGCUCAGGUAUAACAAUUAGGAGAAUCUAUAUUUCCAUAUUACCAAGUUGUAUUCUUGAAUAUCAAGGGGAAUUAAAUUAAUUGGAAUGACUGGACAUCUGACGGACUUUGUAUUUUAAUGUAAAGAAAUAGCCUACAUUUAGAAAGUAACCCAGCUCCUCAACCCUGGGAGUCAGGGAGGGACAUACGGAGAGCUAGAAGGAAGAGGAAGGUGUGUGUAUAAGGGACAUACGGAGAGAUAGAAGGAAGAGGAAGGUGUGUGUAUAAGGGACAUACGGAGAGAUAGAAGGAAGAGGAAGGUGUGUGUAUAAGGGACAUACGGAGAGAUAGAAGGAAGAGGGAGGUGUGUGUAUAAGGGACAUACGGAGAGAUAGAAGGAAGAGGAAGGUGUGUGUUCACUACAUAAACGUGUAGAAAUGAAACUGUAUCUCACUAGAGUGCGGCUGCAUCAGGAAACUCCCAUAGUGAAAGAGAGAAAGAAGAGGGAGAGAGAAAUAGGGGAGAGAGAGGAGUGUGCAGGCGAGAGAGAGAGAUAGACAGUAAAUCUCAGUAAGACCAAAUGAAUGGUGUUCCAAAAAAGGUCCAGUUGCCAGGACCACAAAUACUAAUUCCAUCUAGACACCGUUGCCCUAGAGCACACAAAAAACUAUACAUACCUCAGCCUAAACAUCAGCGCCACAGGUAACUUCCACAAAGCUGUGAACGAGCUGAAGGAGAGAGGGAGAGAGAGAACCUUCCAUAACAAAGCCAUCACCUACAGAGAGAUUAAUCUGGAGAGGAGUCCCCUAAGCAAGCUGGUCCUGUGGCUCUGUUCACAAACACACCCCACGGAGCCCCAGAACAGCAACACAGUUAGCAACACAGUUAGACUCAACCAAAUCAUGAGAUAACAAAAGAUAAUUACUUGACACAUUGGAAAGAAUUCAUAAAAAAAACAGAGCAAACUAGAAUGCUAUUUGGCCCUAAACAGAGAGUACACAGAGGCAGAAUACCUGACCACUGUGACUGAGAGUAAUGUUUAAUGUCAAUGUUUAUUGUUUAUUUCACUUUUGUUUCUCUAUUUCACUUGCUUUGGCAAUGUCAACAUGUUUCAGAGAGAGAGAGAGAGAGAGAGAGAGAGAGAGAGAGAGAGAGAGAAAUAUAAAGUGAAAGUGUUCAGACCCUUUGCUAUGAGACUUGAAAUUUUGCUCAGAUCCAACCUGUUUUCAUUGAUCAUCCUUGAGAUGUUUCUACAACUUCAUUGGAGUCCACCUGUGGGGUAUUGUGUGUCGCUUGAUGAGGGAAAAAACGAUUUAAUACAUUUUAUAAUAAGACUGUAAUGUAACAAAAUGUGGAAAAAGUCAAGGGGUCUGAAUACUUUCUGUUUUUAUAUUUAGCAUGUAGGCACCAGGGUGUUGUGGAGUGUGUUCAGGAAAGGGAGACAGUCAUUACAUUUUUUUAUUUAACCUUUAUUUAACUAGGCAAGUCAGUUAAGAAGAAAUUCUUAUUUUCAAUGACGGCCUACCCCGGCCAUAGGGACUCAAAUCACGGCAGGUUGUGAUACAGCCUGGAAUCGAACCAGGGUCUGUCGUGACACCUCUAACACUGAGAUACAAUGCCUUAGACCGCUGUGAUACAGCCUGGAAUCGAACCAGGGUCUGUCGUGACACCUCUAACACUGAGAUACAAUGCCUUAGACCGCUGUGAUACAGCCUGGAAUCGAACCAGGGUCUGUCGUGACACCUCUAACACUGAGAUACAAUGCCUUAGACCGCUGUGCCGCUCGGGAGCCCCAUUUGACUGUUUACUGUACUGUAUGAUGGCUGCCAGGUCGUCGUAUAGUGUGUUCAGUGUUCUGGACUGUAUUUAAUGAUUUACUUCAGGCCUCUAGUCUGCUGAACCAAGGGAGUUGUUUGCUCACGCACACACGAAUGCAGACGCACGCACUACACACACACACACACACACAUACAGACGCGCACAAACACACACACACACACACACACACACACACACACACACACACACACACACACACACACACACACACACACACACACACACACACACACACACACACACACAGGGGAGUUGUUUGCUGUACUCUGUUUGAGCUCAUUUAAACAUGGUUAAUGAGUUCCUAGUCACCCCUCUCAUGUUGCUCUGCAGCUAUAAAAAAAGAACUAUCUCCUCUCUCUCUCUGUCUCGCUUUCUCUCCCCCUCGCUCUCUCUCUCUCCUCUCUCUGUCUCUCUCUCUCUCUCUCUCUCUCUCCCUCUCUCUCCCUCUCUCCCUGUCUCCCUGUCUCUCUCUCUCUCUCUCUCCUCUCUCUGUGUCUCUCCUCUCUCUCUCUGUCUCUCUCGCUCUCUCUCCUAUCUCUCCCUCUCUCUCCCCCUCUCCCCCUCUCUCUCUCUCUCCUCUCUCUCCCUCUCUCUCCCUCUCUCUCCCUCUCUCCCCCUCUCCCCCUCUCUCUCUCUCUCUCUCUCUCCCUCUCUCCCUCUCUCUCUC
rnacentral:lncRNA from 1 species